rnacentral:sRNA from 10 species
ACUCAACGCUAAUUAAUUAUAAAGGGUGAGUUUAGGUUGCUAAAUCGUGCUGAAAUUUUUCAGAUUUUUGAUCAGUCUUGUAGCCCUAAUCCUGUUAAACUGGAGUUU